rnacentral:rRNA from 1 species
UACGAAGGGGGCUAGCGUUGUUCGGAAUCACUGGGCGUAAAGCGCACGUAGGCGGGUCUUUAAGUCAGGGGUGAAAUCCCGAGGCUCAACCUCGGAACUGCCUUUGAUACUGGGGAUCUCGAGUCCGGGAGAGGUGAGUGGAACUGCGAGUGUAGAGGUGAAAUUCGUAGAUAUUCGCAAGAACACCAGUGGCGAAGGCGGCUCACUGGCCCGGAACUGACGCUGAGGUGCGAAAGCGUGGGGAGCAAACAGG